GUGGGUUAGAUGGUAUGGGAAAGUGUCCCCCAGCUUUGACAUCCUGUUUUGUUCUGACCUCCCCCCCAGCUCUGACACCCCUGUUCUAAGGUCCCGCUGGCUCUGACACCCCCUGUCCUCAGCCCCUCCAGUUCUGAUAUCCCCUGUUCUAAGGUCCCCCCAGCUCUGAUAUCCCCUGUUCUAAGGUCCCCCCCAGCUCUGACAUCCCCUGUCCUAAGGUUCCCCAGCUCUGACGCCCCCUGUUCAGACUUUUCUCCACUAUGCCCCCGCAGCCUUUUCACCCUGGAAGAUCACCGUGCCCCUGCAGCCCCUUCCUCCCAGAACCUCCAUUUCAGGAAAGUGUCCCGAGUAGCAUGCUCCUUCAUUCCUCUCUGGGUCCUUUCUCCAUUAUGCCUGCCUUGGUAGCAUCGCCCCUCCCCAUCCCAUGCAGGUGUCUCAGGCGUCUUUGGGGAGGGCAUGGCGCAGAACUAGGCCGCCUCUCCCCAACAAGCUCCCAUUGCCUGGAGGGCCCACAGGGUGCAGAGACCAAGUCCCAGCGGAGCCCCAGGGCCCUUGGGUGCUGACUGGAUGAAAGCACGGGCUUUGGGAGAGCCGUGUGAUCUGCUCUCCCUGCCAGGCUGAUAGUAUUCAGCAGAUUACCCGCGUGGUCUGCUGACCUUCAGAGCAUUAACAGCAGACAAGGCCCCGACCAGGAGGCGGCUGCUGGCCAAAGGUGGACCCUGACAGCACGCCUGUCUGAGGCCCCCCCACGAGAGGCUCCUCAAGCGUGGUUAGUGCAGGAUGUGGUCCAGCUGCCUCCCCCUGUCCCCAAGUCUGGCCUGAGCAUUAACAUAGGAGCCACCGAGGAGUCCAUUGUCCAGACCGUCCUGCCAUCUUGGGCUCCCUGACAUCGAUCAGCCCCUUCUCUGGCUCCCGCCUGGCCCAGCCCCUCACCACCUCUAGCCUCAGCUGUUCUCGCAGCCUCCUCGUCAGGCUCCCUGCCUCAAGUCUCUGCCCUCUCCAAUCCAGCCUCUAUUUGGACAGUCCUAAUACCCAGCUUGGACUGGUCAGUCUGGAGCUGUAGAAGCUCUGGGGCCUCCCAGUGACCUCGAUGAUAAGAGGGACUCCGCUGUGGGCUCUGCUCCACGCCCCUGACCAGAAGGCCUACUUCAGUCGUUUCCUGCCCGUGCUAGUGAAGCAGCUACUAUGAGCUGGACGUGGGAGACGGGACAGAUAUGACACGGGCCCCGGGACUUUGUCAGGGAUGGGAAUGCCCACGUGGGGAAGCUCUGUCAUCAGGUAAGAUGGGCACCUCACCCCAAAUGACCGGCUCACUCGUCCAGAGUCCCAGGGCCAGGGUGUCCAGAGGCCACCAGGAUGGGGAGCCAGCCUGGGGCUCAGAGAAGGCUCCCAAUCCCUCCCUUGAGGGUCCCUUACAGGCUCCCACCUGGGAGGCAAGACCCAGCACCAAAGGCCUGGUAAGGGAGCAGGGACGGGGCAGGUCCAGCUGCAGGCUCUAGAGAACUCCCCAGUGGCUGUUUGUUGGGCCAGACAAGGCAGCCCUGAGCCAGGCCUGGAGGCACUGAGGUGGCUGCUAGGCCAACAGGGAAGAAGAGGGCUCACCAGGCCCCAACAGCAAAGGGCUGUGCAAGACUUUCCAGCCGCAGGUAUGCACGUGUGGGACUACCAUCUCCUUGUCUGGAGUCAGGAGUUCAGCAGAGGGGAGUCUGAAAGAAGCCUGGAAAGGUAGGGGGAGGUGGAUUGUGCAAGCCUUGAGGUCAGCUUUGGCCAGAGGGAGCCAUCGAAGGUGUGGGAGCAGAGGAGGGUCUUGGGAAACCUGCACUUCUGAAAUCCCUCUUUGUGGGGAUGGGAGCUGGGGGAGCCUGGGGCAGGGAGAGGCUCUGGCCCUUCUUCAGAGAAGGGGAACUCGGAGGGUGGCCACAGAGCAUCACCCUGAGGGAAGGGCAUGGUGGUGAGACUCCUGGCCUCAUCGAACUGGCCAGAUGGGCCGGGCUGACUGUCAUGUGGGGAGGAGAGGGAGUCCAGGGUUAUUUGUCAGGGCCCAGAGUCCCCUGGAGCCAAGCAUGACUUCACCGGCCUCUCUGGGCUCUGUUAUCCUCUUGGUACAAAUAUUUAUAUCCUGCAGAUACACAGCCUUCUUCUAAGGACUGGAGGCCGAGGUGCUGGCCCGCCAGUGGGCCGGCCUGGGGCCCUUCAGUCCCCUUGUCUAUAUUUGGCCGCUUGCUGCACACUCUGGGUGGGGGGAGGGGGAGAGGCCCCUGCAUCUUGAGCCACAUUUGGUGCCUCGGGUUCUUACAAGAGGCAGGGCAUCUCCACCAACUUUACCUGGCCCCCAGCUCAGCCGCACCCAGGAAUAGUGUCUCAGAAGAGGCCCCACUGAUCUCCAGAGGCUGUCCCUCAGGACACUGCUCCCAGAACCCCAGGAAGGUGCCCCCUCAUCCUACCGAGGGGUCAGCAUCACAUCUGGGGGGGCCCUUGUUCCCCUUAAGAAGCAGCGAAGUGUGCACAGAGUAUAGGGAAGCUGGAGUCGGGAGGACCUCAGGCACUGACUUGCUGUGUGACCCCAGGCGACCACUUCACACCCCAACUCAGCCUGAGUGUCCUCUUCUGUGUGAUGACAAACCCAACCUCCCAGGGUUGUGGACCAAAGCGUUCUGUAAAUGCCUGCUGCCGCCAUCCCACCCACCAGCCUUGAUUGAUUCAGACAUGUGGGGUCAUUUCCAAGGUCAUGGAUUUGCCAGUCAAGAGGAGGGUCCCCCAAAAUCCUCCCAGCUGGGAAAGGGGAUAAACACUUGCUAAUAGAGGUCACGUUUAUAGGGGUCUCCAGCGCUGUGGAAGAGGUCUAAAAUUGAGGUGAUGACACCGCCCUGGCGGAGCAAGGGGUGCCCUAAAGAGGAGGUGUUUGUGGCCCGGCGUCACCCAGAGGCAGGCCUCCAGUGGAGUGCCCAGGUGGUUGGUGCCGGCUCCAUGACCGCUUCUAUCUCUACCCGCUUUGCCAUGCAGCCUCGCCCCUGCCUUCUGUGAAGUCAGCUGAAUUGAUUGAAUCGAAUUGGGCCUCAAAUGCUUCAUCUGUAAAGUAAGGGGUGAGGGGUGGUACUAUGUGAAAAGAGCACCAGAUUUGGAGUCCAGGGCCCUGGGUUCAAAUCCUACCUUGGCCCCUUCUCUCUAGAGGAAGCUGGACAAAUCUCUCACUGGGUCUCAGUUCUCUUAUCUGUAAAGUGGGGGGCUGUUCUGGGCAGCCACAAGGUCUCUUUGGGAUCCCCUGAGCUCCUCUCUGUGCUGGGCUAUCAGCCCUUCAAGGAGGGCAAGUUCCUCUUCUCAUUUAUACUUUAUACCCCGCCCUAGCACCAAACACAUGGUUUGGUACACAGUAGGAGCUUCACAAACAUUGAUUUAAUUCUCCUGUGACAGAGACAUGGGGCUUGUCCCUGAACACAGGCAAUGAACGGGGGGAGGGAGAGGGAGAGCUUCCUUCUGUCCAGGGGUUCACCCAGCUUGGCACACAGUAGGUGCUUAAUACUCACUGAUUGACGGAGCCUUGCCUCACAGAGCAAUUGGAAGGAUUGAGGGAGAUCAUGAAGAUGAGGUGUUGUGAGUGGAAAUGACCGGACCCCUAUCAGACUGUGGAGGAGCCACUGAAACAUACCUGUGCUCCUCUGCCCCCAUCCCGCAGCGGAGCACCCACCCCCUAGCCUUUCCCAGAUGGAGGACGCCCCUCCUGCACUACUGGCAUCUGACGACUGAGAAAAUGAACAGCGACAAGGAAGAAAGGCCUUUUCUGGACAUUUGGACCUUGAUGGGGGGCACCCGACGGCUGGGAGCCUGGGCGGAGCUAAUCUUGCGUGAUUUUUUAAAACAUAUUUUUAUUUAUUUUGUUACCUAUUUCCCAUUUACAUUUUUAAAAA